rnacentral:rRNA from 1 species
CAAUAGCGUAUAUUUAAGUUGUUGCAGUUAAAAAGCUCGUAGUUGGAUUUCGGAUGGGACUUGCCGGUCCGUCGUUUCGAUGUGCACUGGCCAGUCCUAUCUUGUUGUCGGGGACUAGCUCCUGGGCUUCACUGUCCGGGACUAGGAGCUGACGAGGUUACUUUGAGUAAAUUAGAGUGCUCAAAGCAAGCCUACGCUCUGAAUACAUUAGCAUGGAAUAACACGAUAGGACUCUGGCUUAUCUUGUUGGUCUGUGAGACCAGAGUAAUGAUUAAGAGGGACAGUCGGGGGCAUUCGUAUUUCAUUGUCAGAGGUGAAAUUCUUGGAUUUAUGAAAGACGAACUUCUGCGAAAGCAUUUGUCAAGGAUGUUUUCAUUAA